UUAGAGUUUGAUCCUGGCUCAGAUUGAACGCUGGCGGCAGGCCUAACACAUGCAAGUCGAGCGGUAGAGAGAAGCUUGCUUCUCUUGAGAGCGGCGGACGGGUGAGUAAUGCCUAGGAAUCUGCCUGGUAGUGGGGGAUAACGUUCGGAAACGGACGCUAAUACCGCAUACGUCCUACGGGAGAAAGCAGGGGACCUUCGGGCCUUGCGCUAUCAGAUGAGCCUAGGUCGGAUUAGCUAGUUGGUGGGGUAAUGGCUCACCAAGGCGACGAUCCGUAACUGGUCUGAGAGGAUGAUCAGUCACACUGGAACUGAGACACGGUCCAGACUCCUACGGGAGGCAGCAGUGGGGAAUAUUGGACAAUGGGCGAAAGCCUGAUCCAGCCAUGCCGCGUGUGUGAAGAAGGUCUUCGGAUUGUAAAGCACUUUAAGUUGGGAGGAAGGGUUGUAGAUUAAUACUCUGCAAUUUUGACGUUACCGACAGAAUAAGCACCGGCUAACUCUGUGCCAGCAGCCGCGGUAAUACAGAGGGUGCAAGCGUUAAUCGGAAUUACUGGGCGUAAAGCGCGCGUAGGUGGUUAGUUAAGUUGGAUGUGAAAUCCCCGGGCUCAACCUGGGAACUGCAUUCAAAACUGACUGACUAGAGUAUGGUAGAGGGUGGUGGAAUUUCCUGUGUAGCGGUGAAAUGCGUAGAUAUAGGAAGGAACACCAGUGGCGAAGGCGACCACCUGGACUGAUACUGACACUGAGGUGCGAAAGCGUGGGGAGCAAACAGGAUUAGAUACCCUGGUAGUCCACGCCGUAAACGAUGUCAACUAGCCGUUGGGAGCCUUGAGCUCUUAGUGGCGCAGCUAACGCAUUAAGUUGACCGCCUGGGGAGUACGGCCGCAAGGUUAAAACUCAAAUGAAUUGACGGGGGCCCGCACAAGCGGUGGAGCAUGUGGUUUAAUUCGAAGCAACGCGAAGAACCUUACCAGGCCUUGACAUCCAAUGAACUUUCUAGAGAUAGAUUGGUGCCUUCGGGAACAUUGAGACAGGUGCUGCAUGGCUGUCGACAGCUCGUGUCGUGAGAUGUUGGGUUAAGUCCCGUAACGAGCGCAACCCUUGUCCUUAGUUACCAGCACGUAAUGGUGGGCACUCUAAGGAGACUGCCGGUGACAAACCGGAGGAAGGUGGGGAUGACGUCAAGUCAUCAUGGCCCUUACGGCCUGGGCUACACACGUGCUACAAUGGUCGGUACAGAGGGUUGCCAAGCCGCGAGGUGGAGCUAAUCCCACAAAGCCGAUCGUAGUCCGGAUCGCAGUCUGCAACUCGACUGCGUGAAGUCGGAAUCGCUAGUAAUCGCGAAUCAGAAUGUCGCGGUGAAUACGUUCCCGGGCCUUGUACACACCGCCCGUCACACCAUGGGAGUGGGUUGCACCAGAAGUAGCUAGUCUAACCUUCGGGAGGACGGUUACCACGGUGUGAUUCAUGACUGGGGUGAAGUCGUAACAAGGUAACCAAU
rnacentral:rRNA from 1 species